rnacentral:rRNA from 1 species
GACGAACGCUGGCGGCGUGCUUAACACAUGCAAGUCGAACGGAAAGGCCCUGCUUUUGUGGGGUGCUCGAGUGGCGAACGGGUGAGUAACACGUGAGUAACCUGCCCUUGACUUUGGGAUAACUUCAGGAAACUGGGGCUAAUACCGGAUAGGAGCUCCUGCUGCAUGGUGGGGGUUGGAAAGUUUCGGCGGUUGGGGAUGGACUCGCGGCUUAUCAGCUUGUUGGUGGGGUAGUGGCUUACCAAGGCUUUGACGGGUAGCCGGCCUGAGAGGGUGACCGGCCACAUUGGGACUGAGAUACGGCCCAGACUCCUACGGGAGGCAACAGUGGGGAAUAUUGCACAAUGGGCGGAACCUGAUGCAGCAACGCCGCGUGCGGGAUGACGGCCUUCGGGUUGUAAACCGCUUUCGCCUGUGACGAAGCGUGAGUGACGGUAAUGGGUAAAGAAGCACCGGCUAACUACGUG